CUUUUACGGAGAGUUUGAUCCUGGCUCAGGACGAACGCUGGCGGCGUGCUUAACACAUGCAAGUCGAACGAUGAACUGGAGCUUGCUCCAGGAAUUAGUGGCGAACGGGUGAGUAACACGUGAGUAACCUGCCCUUGACUCUGGGAUAAGCGCUAGAAAUGGCGUCUAAUACCGGAUACGAGCUUCAGCCGCAUGGCUAGGAGUUGGAAAGAAUUUUGGUCAAGGAUGGACUCGCGGCCUAUCAGCUAGUUGGUGAGGUAAUGGCUCACCAAGGCGACGACGGG
rnacentral:rRNA from 1 species